CUAAAAUUUUAGGACUGAAGGUGGAAUUUUCCAUUUUGAAAAUAGAAAGAAAUCUAAAAUAGAAUUCAAAUUCUUUGCAAUUUCCUGUAAUUUUUCGAAAAUUGUAGACGAUGAUGAAUGAGAAUCAAGCGCAAGGGCGUUAUCCGCCGGGGGUUGGCUACGGCGGCGCUCUAUACGCGGAAUACCAGAACUGUAAACCGCACCUGCAGCCACCGGAACGGGACGGAGCCUACAGAAUGUGCCGCAACGGUGGAUGAGGCCCAGUCCUAUUGCCUCCACCGUUUCUGAUUCUUCUGAUGAAGUUGAAACAAAUGUGCGGUCGAAGCCAUCGGCUACACAAUUUUGGGAUAAGAUCGCUGGAAAGGAACAGAUGACCUGAAACUCGAGAUUUCAUUCACUUGGUGCACGUAAGAUAUGAUAUAAAUUCUGAGUAUUGGCUUCCGCUAACCAAUUAGUUUUUCCGUUUUGGGCAUUUAGCUCUCAAGAUUGGAAGGCACAUUUGAUGAUCCCGCCUCCUGACACCCGGUACAAGACUGAGGACAAUUAGCAGAGCACGGAGGCUGGAUGCAGUAGUGGGAUUAGCUUUCUAAUCCUCCAGAUUUCUCUACCCUUCCAGUAAAUAUACUCUUAUCCUUUCUUUUAUCCGAAGUUAUGAGAACCAGCCUUACCACCAGGUGCUGCCAUCAACUUGCUGCAGUCAAGGCUGGACUUUACAUAUUCGACCAAUGCCAUUCCACAAACGAAAUAGCAUACUUGUAUUGCAAUUUCAAGCCAAAGAUGGAAGAUCAUGGUUCCUUUUCUUUUUGUGUCACUAAAAUGCCUCUAUAUCUCCUACAACUUACUAUUGCUAGGUCUCAGAUUUCACCUCCAUCUUGGAUGUCACAGCGACGAAAGGAAAUGAAUUCGAAGAUUAUUUUCUGAAACGUGAGCUCUUGAUGGGAAUAUAUGAAAAGGGGUUUGAAAGGCCUUCUCCCAUCCAGGAAGAAAGUAUUCCUCUUGCUCUGACUGGAACUGAUAUUCUUGCCCGAGCUAAAAAUGGUACUGGAAAGAC